rnacentral:rRNA from 1 species
UACGAAGGGGGCUAGCGUUGUUCGGAAUUACUGGGCGUAAAGGGAGCGUAGGCGGGCUCUUAAGUUGGAUGUUUAAAACCGGGGCCUAACCCCGGCGUGGCAUCCAAAACUGGGAGUCUUGAAUGGGACAGAGGCCAGUGGAAUUAGAGGUGUAGCGGUGGAAUGCGUAGAUAUCUCUAAGAACACCAGUUGCGAAGGCGGCUGGCUGGGUCCACAUUGACGCUGAGGCUCGAAAGCGUGGGGAGCAAACAGG